rnacentral:lncRNA from 1 species
AACAGAAGCAUGAAAUAACAGCCAUAGAAAGACUUGGUAUUGUUUAUCCAUCAUCGCCCAUCAUCAUUAUCAUCAAGCUGAAACAUCUCACACGGAAUACACCAAAACCUCUGGAUCUGGGAAUAAACCAAAAACACCUGAAGGUUAUGAGAUCAAGAAGAAGAUGAGGAGGAGGAGGAGGAGGAGGAAGAGUCGGUGUCGGGGCGGUUUCCUAGGACGAGGUUGGGCCUCCUCGGAGCGCUGGCCUGGUCGCAACCGUCGACGGUGGCGUAGAGCUGGAAGGGCGGGGCGUCGGUGGCGAGCCACUGGCGGACGUAGAAGAGGGUCUGGGAGCAGGGGAGGUGGGGCCCGGUGGCCGUCACCUCGACGUACUCGCAGUACCAGCCGUGGUGGGCCCCACCCCCGUCGGAGGUCACGUUGAGACGGCAGAGCGGCCUGGUGAGCCCGCAUGGGCCCCGCCCGCUGAAGGCGUCGAGGUUCCCCCGUUCGAAGUAGUCGUGGUCGGGGCCCAUCAG